rnacentral:tRNA from 1 species
GUGCGUAUAGCUCUGUGGUAGAGCACAUGCUUAGCAUGCAUGAGGUCCUGGGUUCAAUCCCCAGGACCUCCA